CCUACGGGAGGCUGCAGUGAGGAAUAUUGGUCAAUGGCCGAAAGGCUGAACCAGCCAAGUCGCGUGAGGGAAGACGGCCCUCCGGGUUGUAAACCUCUUUUGUCGGGGAGCAACGCGAGUCACGUGUGGCUCAUUAAGAGUACCCGAACUAAAAGCCUCGGCUCACUCCGUUCCAGCAGCCGCGGUCAUACGGAGGAUUCGAGGGUUAUCCGGAUUUAUUGGGUUUAAAGGGUGCGCAGGCGGAGGUGCAAGUCAGCGGUCAAAUUGCGGGGCUCAACCCCGUACUGCCGUUGAAACUGCAGUCCUUGAGUGCGCGAGAAGUAUGCGGAAUGCGUGGUGUAGCGGUGAAAUGCAUAGAUAUCACGCAGAACUCCGAUUGCGAAGGCAGCAUACCGGCGCGCAACUGACGCUGAUGCACGAAAGCGUGGGUAUCGAACAGGAUUAGAUACCCCAGUAGUC
rnacentral:rRNA from 1 species